rnacentral:tRNA from 1 species
GAAAAUUUAGUUAAAAAAUAACCUCAGUUUGUCAUACUGAAAUUGCUUUCUUAAGCAAUUUUCU